GCCGCCAACCCGCAGUACCGGAUGUAAACAACAUUAACUGCGACAAGCCUAAUGCUAAUGCUAACUAACGUAGCUCAAAGCUAAUAAAGAAGCAGAUUCCACCACCUAAUGCUGGCUAGAUAGACGGAAACGACCUUUGUGAACUACAACUACCAGAAGGAAGUCACAGCUCUCAAAGCACUCUGGGAUUUGAAAUGUUUAGGAUAUGGUGAAGCUCAGAAAGUCCCAAAACUCCAUUUCCCAUCAUUCACCAUUUUCCCCCCCACGGCUACACAUCUGCAAGACAUUUAUUUCCUAUACACCACCCUAAGAACAAGUUUCUCCAGCUCUGCCAUCUGAGGAGGGGAGCCCACAGCGGCCCUCUCCCCUGAGACGCCAUGAGAAUACCAUCUCCAAAAAUAGAGGUCUCCUCCUCUCCUUCCAACUCUUCCGCUCUUCCAGGUAUCUGUCGCUUCCAUUUUGCGUUACUGCAUGGAGGACACACUCACAGCUCAUCCACACACUCCUGCACAGAAAUGAUCUGCACCCUGCUGAGAGACGCUCCUGAUGGUUAUUGUCAGGUAUUGCAGGGAGAUUGCAUUACAGACUUGUAAAGUCAACCCAAGGUUAACGUAUGUGUGUGUUCAUUGAUUAGAUAUGUCUAUUAUUAGCAACAUUCCUAUGCAAGUUAAAUCAAUGGUUUAAAGGGAUGGUAGAUCGUGGCUGUAUCAUGCAUGUCUGGAGCUGAAGUCGAACUUGACUGUGAUGAGUGUGUGUGUUUGUGAUGUGUGAAGCAGGGUGUUGGAGCUAAAAAAAGAGGUGUGCUGCUGCUGACUGUUUUCAGCUUUAAUUAGCAGGGUUCUGUUUAUGUCCGGAUGGAUCACAGCUCACCUUUCCUCUCUGAGGAUCAAAAGGCAAAUAUGAACAUGUUCGACAAAACCCUUCGAGCCAAAUCAAUGCAUGACGAAACAGCAUCUUGAGCGAGUGAGGUCACUGGAUACAGAACAACACAUGAGCAUGUGUAUUCUGCUGGCUGCUGACUAUUCCUGUGCUUUAGUUCAUGUUUAGAUAAAAUCUAGUACCCCUUCUGUGAGGAUACAUGUUUCACAUGUCUGAUUUAUCAAAUUACUUUUCCAACAGAAUUUUUGGUCACAUCUAUCCCAGGAGAAGUGUCAUCCUUACAGUAGUGAGGAAAUAUAAUAUUUUCUAGACCUUUCAUGCAGAGAGCCCAUCUUUAUAUAUUCAGUCUAAUAAAUGAAAAUCCCAAAAGUCCAAAUUCUAUAUUCCUUGUGAGAGAAUAAAUCACCCCUGGAUCGCA